GUUAUAAAUUUAGCCGGAAAAAAAGCAUUAUUAAUAAUUAAACCAAACCAUUUAAGUAUUUAGUAUGGGCGACAGAACAAUUAUUUAGAGCAAUAGAAAAAGUACUGCAAAGGAAAAAUGAAAUAAAAUGAAAUAUAUAAACAAUAAAAAGCAAAGAUAUAACCUUAUACCUUUUGCAUAAUGGUUCAGCAAGUCUUAAAUAACAAAAAGAAUUUUAGUUAAUACCCCGAAACUAAAUGAGCUAUUCUAAAGCAGAAUAUUGAACCAACCCUUCUCUGUUGCAAAAGAGUGGGAUGACUUUUGAAUAGAGGUGAUAAAUCUAACGAAUUUAGAGAUAGCUGGUUACUCAAGAAAUGAAUUUAAGUUCAAUUUAAAAUACUCAUUACCAAAAAAAGAUAAAUUUUAAAUAUAAUUAAUAGGGGUACAGCCCUAUUAAUAAAGGAUACAACCUAUAAAAAUGAAUAAUAAUUAUAAUUAUUAAAGAUAUUAAUAAAGUAGGCCCAAAAGCAGCCAUCUUCAUAAAAAGCGUCAAAGCUUAAUCUUAUUCAAUCUUAUUAUUAAAAUAUAUAAUUAAACUUCACUAUAACUAUUGAGUUAAUCUAUUUAAUAGAUGAAAUUAUGCUGAAAUAAGUAACAAGAAUUAUUUCUAAUUUUGCAUGUGUAAAUCAGAAUGAAAAAAUCACUGAUAAUUAACGAAUAAAUAUAAAAAAUGCAAGAAAUAUAUAUAUAAUAAAUCGUUGACCCGACACAGGAGCAUAGUUAAGAUUAAAAAUUUAGAAAGGAACUCGGCAAACACGAGCUUCGCCUGUUUACCAAAAACAUCGCCUCUUGCACAACAAGUAUAAGAGGUACUGCCUGCCCAGUGACAUUGUUUAACGGCCGCGGUAUUAUGACCGUGCAAAGGUAGCGUAAUCACUUGUCUUUUAAAUAAAGACUAGUAUGAAUGGCAAAACGAGGGCUCAACUGUCUCUCUAAAUUAAUCAGUGAAAUUGAUCUUCCCGUGCAGAAGCGAGAAUAAACAUAUAAGACGAGAAGACCCUGUGGAGCUUUAAACUAAAAUUAAUUAUAUUAUAUUUAAUCCAAUAGGAAAACUUUUAAAAAAAUAAAAAUAAUUUAUGUUUUUGGUUGGGGCGACCAUGGAAGAAAAAAAAUCUUCCGAGAUAAAACAUUAAGAGAUACUACUCUAAUAAUAAAACAUUUAUAAUUGAUCCAAUAUUUGAUCAACGAACCAAGUUACCCCAGGGAUAACAGCGCAAUCCUUUCCUAGAGUCCAUAUCGACGAAUGGGUUUACGACCUCGAUGUUGGAUCCGGACACCCUAAUGGUGCCGCCGCUAUUAAUGGUUCGUUUGUUCAACGAUUAAAGUCCUACGGGAUCUGAGUUCAGACCGGAGCAAUCCAGGUCAGUUUCUAUCUAUAAAUAAUUACUUCCAGUACGAAAGGACCGAAAUAAUAAAGCCCCUUAAAAUUAAAGCUUUACCCUUUAUUAUUGAAAACAACUAAAAUAAAACGGACAAUAAACCCAGCCAACGAUAAUGGCUC
rnacentral:rRNA from 1 species